rnacentral:ncRNA from 2 species
GUAUAAUGUGGGGGUUUUGGUGCCCGCGCUUGAGUCCUUGAGCGCAGUUAAACGGGAAACACGGAACCGCCCCGGCGGCCAACGUGUGCUGCCCCCGCAACGGUAAGCAAGUGCCGCACCGCGGCAGCCGUCUUUUGCAACCACUGUGCUUCGCAUGGGAAGGUGAGACGGUCAAACCUGCCAGCCCGGAUACCGGCCAAAUCAGGUGGAGACGG